CUUACGCUAAUACCGCAUACGACCUACGGGUGAAAGCAGGGGAUCUUCGGACCUUGCGCGAUUGAAUGAGCCGAUGUCGGAUUAGCUAGUUGGCGGGGUAAAGGCCCACCAAGGCGACGAUCCGUAGCUGGUCUGAGAGGAUGAUCAGCCACACUGGAACUGAGACACGAUCCAGACUCCUACGGGAGGCAGCAGUGGGGAAUAUUGGACAAUGGGCGCAAGCCUGAUCCAGCCAUACCGCGUGGGUGAAGAAGGCCUUCGGGUUGUAAAGCCCUUUUGUUGGGAAAGAAAUCCAGCUGGUUAAUACCCGGUUGGGAUGACGGUACCCAAAGAAUAAGCACCGGCUAACUUCGUGCCAGCAGCCGCGGUAAUACGAAGGGUGCAAGCGUUACUCGGAAUUACUGGGCGUAAAGCGUGCGUAGGUGGUCGUUUAAGUCCGUUGUGAAAGCCCUGGGCUCAACCUGGGAACUGCAGUGGAUACUGGGCGACUAGAAUGCGGUAGAGGGUAGCGGAAUUCCUGGUGUAGCAGUGAAAUGCAUAGAGAUCAGGAGGAACAUCCAUGGCGAAGGCAGCUACCUGGACCAACAUUGACACUG
rnacentral:rRNA from 1 species